UACGUAGGGUGCAAGCGUUGUCCGGAAUUAUUGGGCGUAAAGAGCUCGUAGGCGGUCUGUCACGUCGGCUGUGAAAACCCGGGGCUCAACCCCCGGGCCUGCAGUCGAUACGGGCAGACUAGAGUGCGGUAGGGGGAGACUGGAAUUCCUGGUGUAGCGGUGAAAUGCGCAGAUAUCAGGAGGAACACCGGUGGCGAAAGGCGGGUCUCUGGGCCGUAACUGACGCUGAGGAGCGAAAGCGUGGGGAGCGAACAGG
rnacentral:rRNA from 1 species